UGGGGAAUAUUGCACAAUGGAGGGAACUCUGAUGCAGCGACACCGCGUGAGUGAUGAAGGAAUUCGUUUCGUAAAACUCUGUUCUAUGGGAAGAAAAGGACUGUACCAUAGGAGAAAGCUCCGGCUAAAUACGUGCCAGCAGCCGCGGUAAUACGUAUGGAGCGAGCGUUGUCCGGAAUUAUUGGGCGUAAAGGAUGCGCAGGCGGCUUUACAAGUUGGAUGUGAAAUAUUGUGGCUCAACCACAAACGUGCAUCCAAAACUGCAAAGCUUGAGUUAAGGAGAGGUAAGUGGAAUUCCUGGUGUAGCGGUGGAAUGCGUAGAUAUCAGGAGGAAUACCGGUGGCGAAGGCGACUUACUGGACUUAAACUGACGCUCAGGCACGAAAGCGUGGGGAGCAAACAGG
rnacentral:rRNA from 1 species